rnacentral:rRNA from 1 species
AUCACUUGUCUUUUAAAUGAAGACCUGUAUGAAUGGCACAACGAGGGCUUAACUGUCUCCUCUUUCAAGUCAAUGAAAUUGAUCUCCCCGUGCAGAAGCGGGGAUAAAAACAUAAGACGAGAAGACCCUAUGAAGCUUCUAGACACAAAGCAGCACUACGUUAUACUAGCCACAAGGCCGAAUCCGCUAAGCCCUGCUCUAAGUCUUUGGUUGGGGCGACCUUGGGGUAAUAAUUAACCCCCAUGUGGAAUGGGAUUACUUUCCCCUCCUACAACUGAGAGUUACAACUCAAAUUAACAGAAUAUCUGACCAUCAAUGAUCCGGCAGUGCCGAUCAACGAACCAAGUUACUCUAGGGAUAACAGCGCAAUCCCCUUCUAGAGUCCC